GACGAACGCGGCGGCGUGCCUAAUACAUGCAAGUCGAGCGAGCUUGCCUAGAUGAAUUUGGUGCUUGCACCAAAUGAAACUAGAUACAAGCGAGCGGCGGACGGGUGAGUAACACGUGGGUAACCUGCCCAAGAGACUGGGAUAACACCUGGAAACAGAUGCUAAUACCGGAUAACAACACUAGACGCAUGUCUAGAGUUUAAAAGAUGGUUCUGCUAUCACUCUUGGAUGGACCUGCGGUGCAUUAGCUAGUUGGUAAGGUAAUGGCUCACCAAGGCAAUGAUACGUAGCCGACCUGAGAGGGUGAUCGGCCACACUGGGACUGAGACACGGCCCAGACUCCUACGGGAGGCAGCAGUAGGGAAUCUUCCACAAUGGACGCAAGUCUGAUGGAGCAACGCCGCGUGAGUGAAGAAGGGUUUCGGCUCGUAAAGCUCUGUUGGUAGUGAAGAAAGAUAGAGGUAGUAACUGGCCUUUAUUUGACGGUAAUUACUUAGAAAGUCACGGCUAACUACGUGCCAGCAGCCGCGGUAAUACGUAGGUGGCAAGCGUUGUCCGGAUUUAUUGGGCGUAAAGCGAGUGCAGGCGGUUCAAUAAGUCUGAUGUGAAAGCCUUCGGCUCAACCGGAGAAUUGCAUCAGAAACUGUUGAACUUGAGUGCAGAAGAGGAGAGUGGAACUCCAUGUGUAGCGGUGGAAUGCGUAGAUAUAUGGAAGAACACCAGUGGCGAAGGCGGCUCUCUGGUCUGCAACUGACGCUGAGGCUCGAAAGCAUGGGUAGCGAACAGG
rnacentral:rRNA from 1 species